rnacentral:ncRNA from 1 species
GAGAAAUUGUUGAAUAAGAGUAGUAGCAUAGGUAUGUAAUUUAGAGAGUCAGUGGGUGGUGUGAACUGAUUUACAGCUUAUGUGAAUGGACUUAUGAGAGUCGCUUUUAAAAGCGAACGUGAUUCCCCACGUUAUAGGGGUGCUUUGAAUGUAUGGCUAAAAUGAAGCUGGUCAUCAUAGAAAGCACAAAAGUGAGAGCAUAUGCUCUAAUAUGAGGUGGCAACGCGGUCAUGAUCGUCCUCUGC